rnacentral:rRNA from 1 species
GACGAACGCUGGCGGCGUGCUUAACACAUGCAAGUCGAACGGAAAGGCCUCUUUCUGGGGGUACUCGAGUGGCGAACGGGCGAGUAACACGCGCGUAACUUGCCCUCGACUAUGGGAUAACUUCCGGAAACAGGGGGUAAUACCGGAUAGGAGCUCCUGCGGCCCGGAGGGGGUUGGAGAGUAACGGCGGUUGGGGGUGGAUUCGCGGUUUAUCAGCUUGGUGGUGGGGUAGUGGCUUACCAAGGCGUUGGCGGGUAGCCGGACUGUGAGGGUGACCGGCCACACUGAGACUGAGGGGCGGCCCAGGCUCCGACGCUACGCAGCUGUGGGGAAUAUUGCCCGAUCGGUGGCAGCCUGAUGCAGCAGCGCCGUGGGCGGGAUGACGGCCUUCGGGUUGUAGACCGCUUUCGCACGUGACGAAGCUUUGUGUGACGGUAGUGGGUAAGGAAGCCCCGGCUAACUACGUG